UGGGGAAUAUUGCACAAUGGGGGAAACCCUGAUGCAGCGACGCCGCGUGAGCGAAGAAGGUUUUCGAAUCGUAAAGCUCUGUCCUAUGAGAAGAUAAUGACGGUAUCAUAGGAGGAAGCCCCGGCUAAAUACGUGCCAGCAGCCGCGGUAAUACGUAGGGGGCGAGCGUUAUCCGGAUUCAUUGGGCGUAAAGCGCGCGCAGGCGGCUCUUCAAGCGGAACCUCUAACCCCGGGGCUCAACCUCGGGCCGGGUUCCGAACUGGAGGGCUCGAGUGCGGUAGAGGCAGGCGGAAUUCCCGGUGUAGCGGUGGAAUGCGCAGAUAUCGGGAAGAACACCGAUGGCGAAGGCAGCCUGCUGGGCCGGCACUGACGCUGAGGCGCGAAAGCUAGGGGAGCGAACAGG
rnacentral:rRNA from 1 species